AAAAAAAGCAAAAAAAUGUUAGCAACAGAAGGCAUGGAAGACGAAGAGAAAUGGCUAGCAGAAGGAAUCGCAGCUAUUCAACACAACGCAUUUUACAUGUCUCGUGCAUUGGAUUCGGAUAAUCUCAGAGAAGCGUUGAAGUAUUCUGCUUUGUUGCUGUCUGAGCUUCGGACUUCAAAACUUUCGCCGCACAAAUACUACGAGCUUUGUAAAUUUUCUAGUCAACAUAUGUUUUUUGAUUAAAUUUUUCUAUUUCCAGUUUGUUAGAAAGUUUUUGCUGGAGAAAAAAUAAAUU
rnacentral:misc_RNA from 1 species